rnacentral:lncRNA from 1 species
CCUUCGUGGUCGACGUACCUGAUGGCAACACAAAGGAUGAGACAUGCUACUUCGUCGAGGCUGUGAUCAAGUGCAACCUCAAAUCUCUCGCAGAGGUAUCCGAGCAGCUAGCAGUUGAGCCACCUACAUCGCCAAUCGAUCAGUGAGUCACCUGCAUCGCCGAUCCAUCAGUAACACCGGUACAAAGACGGGAAUUGGCAACAAAUAAGAAGCUUCAAAGGCCGGCUGGAGAGUUCAACCUUUUUGAGACUGGUGGUUCUGCCACCGUCUUCUGC